rnacentral:rRNA from 1 species
GACGUAGGGCGCGAGCGUUGUCCGGAUUUAUUGGGCGUAAAGAGCUCGUAGGCGGCUUGUUGCGUCAGCUGUGAAAACCCGCAGCUCAACUGUGGGCUUGCAGCUGAUACGGGCAGGCUUGAGUUCGGUAGGGGAGACUGGAAUUCCUGGUGUAGCGGUGAAAUGCGCAGAUAUCAGGAGGAACGCCGGUGGCGAAGGCGGGUCUCUGGACCGAUACUGACGCUGAGGAGCGAAAGCGUGGGGAGCGAACAGG